GAGAAAGAGAAGUAAGAAUGCUCAGCUCUGGAAAAAGAAACUCUCAGAUAUAAUGAACUGAAAUAAACUACAAGAAAAACACAGGGAGAAAGGCGACCAAACUAUCAAUGAAGCUAUCAGUGAAGCUGCCCAAGAGAAAAGGGCUCUCCAGUACUGAAGAAUAACUUAGCUUGUGAGGUAAAAAACCCUCUAGAAUAUCUUGAGGAGAGCCUGAGAGAGUUGAGACAUGUCUAGUAGAUAUCACUAAGGCAAAAAGACCUGUCACCCAAAGGGAAAGUGGAUAUGAGGACUAAUCUUCAAAGACUGAAUUUGAUAUUUUAACAAUGUAUUGUAUGUUUUCUGAGCAUCUGCUGAGGCCACAUAUCCUAAGCAAUACUCAGGACUGCUAAUCUAAAGAAUGGAUUUCCCUGGUGCGCUGGUGGAGGAGCACAACAUGCAAAAUGAAGAAAAUUGCUUGUCUGAAACACUGACCAGUUCAGCUAUUCAUUCUCCAGUCCUGGAAGGCAAGGAUGAACUGCUGAUCACACUGUCCUGACACAGCACAGACACCAGAUCUGUUGCAGUCCUGGAAACCCAGGACAAUGCUGGUGUUAAUACCUGCCUCUGUCCGAGCCAGCUGGACUGCAGCCAAGCCUGCUGGGCAGGAUGCUGGAGCAGAGGAAAUAUAAGGGGAACCUUUCCCUGGGGUGACUGUGAGGUAACACUUCUGUAGGCAGCACUGCAGGCAAGCAGAGUGCUCAGAUUUGCAUGCUGGGUUCUAAAGCACAGACACUUGUGCAGCAGCACGUAUUUGUGAUAGCCUUAUUUGUGCAAAGUAAAGAUGGUUCCACCUCUGCUUUCAGUUAUGGCUGCAUGAAUAAGUUAUUGGGCAGUUCUGCACAUGAUGAAUUAUGUGAAGCUUUUACACUGGCUGAAUGGCCUCCCAACAGCAGGCUCCUGUUUUUAUUUAAUAGACCUCAAAACAGUUUCCUGCUCAGGUUUCCUGAGGUGAGUUCCUGAUAACUGCAGCACACUGCAGUCAUGUUAUCGCUUCACAUUUCAAGGCCUUUGACAUUUCAGUCUACCCAGCAGUGGUUCAUCAGUAGAAUGUACUUAUGUAUUCAUACUGCAUCUACUUGUUAUCAAUUCUAAUUGCAGUAAUGCUCUUGGUCCAUUAUCAGAACAGCUUACUCAUGGCAUUUGGUUCUUUCCAGGUUACAGGGCUCUUCUGCAGGAGCAGAAGCUCCUUACAGGCAGAGCUGAGAGCUGGGGUGGAAACUGCUCCAGCUGCCUUAUUUGUGAGUCAUCCUUGUGAGGACAUUAGAAACUGCAUUGAUUCUUCUAUGGAGUUUAAUAAGAUUCUAAUGACUCCAAAAGAGUGAUUUGUUUGUAUAUAUUCCUUAUUGGGGUUAUUGGGCCAAAAGAUAAUAGGGACACAGAUAAAAUCAUAAGGCUGGACAUUCAGGUGACGAACAUCAGUAUAGCAGUGGUAAAAUUCGUCUACUUAUUGCAAAAGUAGAAAAAAAACCUUUCUAAUGACAUAUGUUUUCUGUUAUUCUAAGAUAAAUUUACUGCUGGCUAUUCAUUCUGUAUGAAAUUAUAUUUUUUGUACAAUAAUACAAAGAAAUUAAAUUACUAACUUUAGCCUCUUUUAUACAUUUGUUUCUACCAUAUUGUUUGAGACAAGGAGUCAGUCUGAGGCAACACACUGCUCAGUUUGAUUUCAUAUGCUAUGGGUGUAGUUUAUUCUUUCUGUUCUAUGCAGAAAUAAUUAUCUGGCUAAUGAAAAAGACACUGCUCACUGGGUGAACCACAACUAAAUGUUUCAAAAAUACUUUAGGAAAAUUCUUGCUCCCCCUGCAGUCAAAGGAAGAUUUUGCACUGAAUUUAAGAAGGAAAAAAGAUAUGCCUUUCUCCUGUGUAUGCUUUGAAAU